rnacentral:tmRNA from 1 species
GGGGCCGUUUGGAUUCGACGGGGUCGUGGGUCGUGCGAUGGCGAGCCGAGCCCCGGGCUCGUAAAACCGGGAAAAACAUACGUGCGAAUGACGCACCUCUCGCCCUCGCUGCGUAAGUAGCAGAGACGAAAAAGCUCGGGCUACGGCCCGACGUCGACCGCCCCUGGGGCCGCCAGAGGCGGAGCCGACGUUAAUGCCAGCGGUCUUGCCGUCCGGUGGCGCCUCGGCGCCGGGCGGGACGCACACCGAGGCUGGCCGGAGCGGAGCCUGUCCCAGGGCGCCGCGCCGGUGAGAGCAAAACCGGGACUACGCUCGUAGAGGUCGCAUGGAACGCGGCUUCGGACGCGGGGUUCGAUGCCCCGCCGGCUCCACCA